UAUCUGGUUGAUCCUGCAGUAAGUCAUAUGCUUGUCUCAAAGAUUAAGCCCUGCAUGCAAUGUUCUAAGCGAGAAUAACUAAACACUAAUCAAUACGGUGAAACCGCGAAUGGCUCAUUAAAUCACUAUGGGUUCCUUAGAUCGUCUCAUCCUACUCGGAUAACUGUGG
rnacentral:ncRNA from 1 species